GAGACACCCUUCUGGGGCAAGACUUGCUUCAGUGGGGCUUUGGUGCUCACUGAGUCUGCCCCCUGAGUGUGUCCUCU
rfam:Myotis lucifugus cont2.27757, whole genome shotgun sequence.